AUACGGAGGAUGCGAGCGUUAUCCGGAUUUAUUGGGUUUAAAGGGAGCGUAGGCGGGAGCUUAAAUCAGCGGUUAAAUGGUGCGGCUCAACCGUGCCCUGCCGUUGAAACUGGGUUUCUUGAGAGUGCAAGAGGCGGAUGGAAUUCAUGGUGUAGCGGUGGAAUGCUUAGAUAUCAUGAAGAACUCCGAUUGCGAAGGCAGUCCGCUGGGGCACGUCUGACGCUGAUGCUCGAAGGUGCGGGAAUCAAACAGGAUUAGAUGCCCUGGUAGUCCGCACGGUAAACGAUGAUUACCCGCUGUCGGCGGUAGACAGUCGGCGGCCAAGCGAAAGCGAUAAGUAAUCCACCUGGGGAGUACGCCGGCAACGGUGAAACUCAAAUGAAUUGACGGGG
rnacentral:rRNA from 1 species